AAUCUCUGAUGUCUUCUCAUUUGCGGAUAAGUCUUUCGUCUUUUACUAAAGAUUUCCAUGGGAAAGCACAAUACAAUGAGUAUUAUCUCAUUUUUUACAGCUCUAUCUUCGAACAGAGU
rnacentral:snRNA from 1 species